rnacentral:rRNA from 1 species
AGGAAUAUUGCUCAAUGGGAGAAAUCCUGAAGCAGCAACGCCGCGUGGAGGAUGAAGGGUCUAUGACUUGUAAACUCCUGUAAAGAAGGAAAAAAUUCCCAUUUGAUGGGAGAUGAUGGUACUUCUGGAGUAAGCCCCGGCUAACUACGUGCCAGCAGCCGCGGUAAUACGUAGGGGGCAAGCGUUGUCCGGAUUUACUGGGUGUAAAGGGUGCUCAGGCGGAUUUGCAAGUCAGAGGUGAAAUCUUACAGCUUAACUGUGAAACUGCCUUUGAUACUGCAAGCCUAGAGUAUGGAAGAGAGUGAUGGAAUAUCUGGUGUAGCAGUGAAAUGCGUAGAUAUCAGAUAGAACACCAAUGGCGAAGGCAGUCACUUGGUCCAUUACUGACGCUAAAGCACGAAAGCGUGGGUAGCAAACA